UACAGAGGUCCCAAGCGUUGUUCGGAUUCACUGGGCGUAAAGGGUGCGUAGGCGGUCGGGUAAGUCUGAUGUGAAAUCUCAGAGCUCAACUCUGAAACUGCAUUGGAUACUAUUCGGCUUGAGGUCUGGAGGGGGGACUGGAAUUCUCGGUGUAGCAGUGAAAUGCGUAGAUAUCGGAAGGAACACCAGUGGCGAAGGCGGCUUCCUGGACUAAUACUGACGCUGAGGUGCGAAAGCGUGGGGAGCAAACAGG
rnacentral:rRNA from 1 species